rnacentral:rRNA from 1 species
GAUGAACGCUGGCGGCGUGCUUAACACAUGCAAGUCGAACGAGAAAUGAUAUUACGAUCUCUUCGGAGUGACGAUUUUAUUUCGAGUGGCGGACGGGUGAGUAACGCGUGAGCAACCUGCCCUGUACCGGGGGAUACCAGUUGGAAACGACUGUUAAUACCGCAUAAGCGCACGAUAAGACAUCUUGUUGUGUGAAAAACUCCGGUGGUAUAGGAUGGGCUCGCGUAUGAUUAGCCAGUUGGCGGGGUAAAGGCCCACCAAAGCGACGAUCAUUAGCCGACCUGAGAGGGCGACCGGCCACAUUGGGACUGAGACACGGCCCAAACUCCUACGGGAGGCAGCAGUGGGGAAUAUUGCACAAUGGGCGAAAGCCUGAUGCAGCGACGCCGCGUGAGUGAGGAAGUAUUUCGGUAUGUAAAGCUCUAUCAGCAGGGAAGAAAAUGACGGUACCUGACUAAGAAGCCCCGGCUAACUACGUGCCAGCAGCCGCGGUAAUACGUAGGGGGCAAGCGUUAUCCGGAUUUACUGGGUGUAAAGGGAGCGCAGACGGCGAAGCAAGUCUGAAGUGAAAUGCAUGGGCUCAACCCAUGAAUUGCUUUGGAAACUGUUUGGCUUGAGUGUCGGAGGGGUAAGCGGAAUUCCUAGUGUAGCGGUGAAAUGCGUAGAUAUUAGGAGGAACACCGGAGGCGAAGGCGGCUUACUGGACGACAACUGACGUUGAGGCUCGAAGGCGUGGGGAGCAAACAGG